GCACCGUGACAUGAGUGCUCUUCAGCAGCGAGCAGCCGGAGCAGCCCAUUUCAGUUCCCGUUUUGCCCUCCGACACUCUGACCAUGGUUUUCCAGGCAGAUGGAAUAAUACGGAUGCAACCGGAGUAAGGGUAGCAAGCUCUCGGGGAAGAAAAUGGCCGAAAGAGCCAGGCAUGCUGUUUAUCUUUUGACUCAGUGGGGAAGAAAGUCUCCAACAACAUCAUUUCCAUACCCAUCUGUGUUUUUCCACUCAUGAUAAUUUUGAAAAAGAUAAGAUAAGGGAAGAGCCCUGUCGGUCAGAUCCACACGUGAAAAAAGAUAAGUCAUUCACCUAAUUCAAUUGUUUUUAUUAUUUAAUAUUUAUCAAAUGGUACAGGUUAUUGUGUGAUGGUGGAACAAUGAUGAUAUCUUUUUAUUAUUUAAUAUUUAUCAAAUGGUACAGGUUAUUGUGUGAUGGUGGAACAAUGAUGAUAUCUUUUUAUUAUUUAAUAUUUAUCAAAUGGUACAGGUUAUUGUGUGAUGGUGGAACAAUGAUGAUAUCUUUAUUUUAUUUUUUGAAUGUUUUCCACUAACUGAUGGUGGGUUUACAACAGAUGCUGAAAGUGGAUGUGGGUUGCCACACCCAUGCAUUUUAAAUUAUGUUGAAAUUAUCAGCUCAAAUCCAAAAGAACUAAUCCACUUUUAUAACCUAAAACUAUGCUAUAAUACGCAUGGCAAGGUUUUACACUUAUAAGAAAUAUACAUAUUAAAUAAUUGUUGUUACCAUAUUUCUUUUACGUAUUUAUUAUAUUUAUUCAUUAUACGCUCAUGAUUAUACUGUCAUUUAUUGUCAGGAAUUAUUGAGCAACUAGGUCCACUGAUCAACAUUGUUGCUGAUUAACGAGGUCUACCAACUUAUAGACUGAUGAGCCACGUGCUUGUGGUGAUCUCUUGUCUGACCGGACACCCACUUGCUCGGACAUUCGCUUAUUGGGACACCUAUGUGCCUGGACCCAACUCGAUGACCCUACAGAUAGUCCCAACUCGAUGCCCCUACGUAUGGCCC
rnacentral:lncRNA from 1 species